rnacentral:lncRNA from 9 species
AUGAGGUGCAGUCUCUUCCCAGGCUCCACGAGUUUUCGGGGCUCAAAGAAACACCAGCAGCGUCCCGGGAGGAGAAAGAGGGUCCCCCGUCCUUUGGGGCCGCGCGGGACCCGGCUGCGGGGGCUGGACUCCCCGCUACCCAUUUCCGAAAAGUCGCCGCAGAUUUUCGGCCACCAGAAGCCGCCUAGUGCAAGGCAAGCGUCGGAGUUUGGAGAGGCCUGGGCGGGUGUGACCGGGUGGUGCAGAGGCUUCUCAAGAAAGGGGCAGCUUUUUUGCGGGGGGUGUGUGUGUGGGGGAAGCUUUCGUCCGAAAUUUAGCUCCGCUGGGGCUUGGGAUAUUUGCUUUUCCUCCCCAACGUCUGCUUUAUUCUCUUCCAAAGAGCAUGUUCUUUUGCCGGAUUCUGGGCAUUUUCCGACCUCGUCAAAAAGGAUAUGCCGGGAAAGGAACAUGCAGAUAGUUUAACAUUCUUUGGUUGGAGUCUGAGGAAGUGUCACCUUGACGCUAAGGAGACUUGGCGCUUUCAGGGAGUGUAAAACUUGCAAAAUUAAGAUCCCCCCCUCCGUCUUUCCUAAAGACAACUUUCUCUUCCCCUGCCCCAGCUUUCUUCAGCAUAAAGCCUUGAUGAGCCCUAGGCUGGAAUCACUGGAAGUUAAGGAGUCUGGGGGGGGGGGAUUUGAAAAGUUGCAGCUGUAAUGGAGGUGCUGGGCAGUGGCGGGGGGGGGGGGGGGGGGAGAAGAGAAAGAACUAGAAAGUCCUGGAAGUGGGGCGGGAGUGGCUUUAGAUUGAAGCAAAGCUCAGGAUGACCCCAGGGGAGAAGCCUUUGUCGUGUCCCCCCCCUCCCCCCGCCCCCGCGGCUUUCCUUUCUCUCCCAUUCCUGCUUCCAGUCCUCACUCAGGCUUGUAGUUAACAGUAGUAUUUUUAGAUUUAAAAUUUUGCCAAGUGAGAUUUUUCCUUAAGUGUACGUGUUACAUGCAAAAAAAUAUAUAAAUUACAUAUAUAUGAGGGGGUGAGAGGAAACUUUAGGAGGUGAUGUAUUUGUUUGCAUAGCUUGUGGUUUUGCCACUGUAUGCUUCUCUCCAACCUGAUGAAGUUGCUUAUAUUGAAUAUUUAUGGCUUGUUUGUGUGUCAGUCAUACCUCAAUAAAAUGGUUUUUAAAAAAGUUGCA